rnacentral:rRNA from 1 species
AUAGCGUAUAUUAAAGUUGUUGCAGUUAAAAAGCUCGUAGUUGGAUUUCAAAGAACUUUAAUAGGAAACUAUUAAAUUCUUACCAGUCUUUGACUGUUACUGUGAGAAAAUUAGAGUGUUUCAAGCAGGCUGUUGCCCGAAUACAUUAGCAUGGAAUAACGAAUGUGUCUAGAAUCUUGGUUAAUUCUAGAUUACGAUUAAUAGGGACAGUUGGGGGCAUUAGUAUUAAAUUGUCAGAGGUGAAAUUCUUGGAUUUGUUAAAGACUAACGUAUG